GACGAACGCUGGCGGCAUGCCUAACACAUGCAAGUCGAGCGGUAAGGCCCUUUCGGGGGUACACGAGCGGCGAACGGGUGAGUAACACGUGGGUGACCUGCCCUCAGCUCUGGGAUAAGCCUGGGAAACCGGGUCUAAUACUGGAUAUGACUCCAUGACGCAUGUUGUGGGGUGGAAAGCCUUGUGCGGCUGAGGAUGGGCCCGCGGCCUAUCAGCUUGUUGGUGGGGUGAUGGCCUACCAAGGCGACGACGGGUAGCCGGCCUGAGAGGGCGACCGGCCACACUGGGACUGAGACACGGCCCAGACUCCUACGGGAGGCAGCAGUGGGGAAUCUUGCGCAAUGGGCGAAAGCCUGACGCAGCGACGCCGCGUGAGGGAUGACGGCCU
rnacentral:rRNA from 1 species